rnacentral:rRNA from 2 species
UACGGCGGUCAUAGCGUGGGGGAAACGCCCGGUCCCAUUCCGAACCCGGAAGCUAAGACCCACAGCGCCGAUGGUACUGCACCCGGGAGGGUGUGGGAGAGUAGGUCACCGCCGGACAACCAUUAG